GGCAGUGUAGCAUAAUGAGUAGGGAACUGGGCUUGUAACCGAAAGGUCACAGGUUCGAUUCCCGGGUAGGACACUGCCG
rnacentral:tRNA from 1 species